rnacentral:lncRNA from 12 species
UGGGGUGGCACUGGUGACAUCGGUGACACGGUGGCUCUGUCCUCUCCCUGUUCCCAGCACUGUGACAUCCCAGGUGACAUCCCAGGUGACAUCAGAGGUGACAUCGGAUCAGCCCCGGGGGUGGCACGCAGGUGACACCGGGGGUGGUGGCUCUGUCCCCAAGGUGUCACCCCAGCGUCACCCCCGGGUCACCCCGGGCAGGGACGGGAGCCGGACACAGCCGGACACGGUGUCCCUGGCCCCGUUGCUGACUCAGCUCCAGGCCCUCGGUGCCGCCAUCCUUGGGGACAGCGGUGACGUCAUCGAGGGGACAGCGGUGACGUCAUUGGGAGGACAGCUGUGAUGUCAUCAGGGAGCGGUGACAUCAUUGAGGGGACCCGUGAUGUCAUCAGAGAGUGGUGACGUCAUCAGGGACAUCGGUGGCUUCAUCAGGGACACCGUGGUGUCACCACCCCCAAGGGGACAGUGGUGACGUCAUCAGGGAGCGUUGACAUCAUUGAGAGACCCCAUGAUGUCAUCACGGACGGUGAUGUCAUCAGGAAGAGACAGUCAUCGGGGAGUGAUGAUGUCAUCCAUGACAUCACAGUGACAACAAUGACGUCACAGGGACAACAAUGACGUCACAGUGACACCGAUGAUGUCAGAACUCCGCCAACAGCAUCACAGCUGUGGUGAUGACGUCACUGUGACAAUGGUGGUGACGUCACAGCGACGACGUCAUGGCCACGUGGAUGACGUCACAGCGACAUUGACUAUGUCACAACAACUGUGAUGAUGUCACAAUGGUGAUGAUGUCACAGCAAUGGUGGGGGCGUGGAAAGGGGCGGGGCCAAAAUGGGACCCCUGGGGACAUUGGGGGG